rnacentral:rRNA from 1 species
ACGUAGGGGGCUAGCGUUAUCCGGAUUUACUGGGCGUAAAGGGUGCGUAGGCGGUCUUUCAAGUCAGGAGUUAAAGGCUACGGCUCAACCGUAGUAAGCUCCUGAUACUGUCUGACUUGAGUGCAGGAGAGGAAAGCGGAAUUCCCAGUGUAGCGGUGAAAUGCGUAGAUAUUGGGAGGAACACCAGUAGCGAAGGCGGCUUUCUGGACUGUAACUGACGCUGAGGCACGAAAGCGUGGGGAGCAAACAGGAUUAGAUACCCUGGUAGUCCACGCCGUAAACGAUGAGUACUAGCUGUCGGAGGUUACCCCCUUCGGUGGCGCAGCUAACGCAUUAAGUACUCCGCCUGGGAAGUACGCUCGCAAGAGUG